rnacentral:sRNA from 1 species
GGCAUGAUGGUGAAUUUGGUACAAUCAAUGACUUUAGAUUAGGCAGAUUACCUGGCAUUGCAGUUGAAUGGAUAGAGAUCAACACAGCUUGGGGCCAGGUUGUCUUAUUGCUGGUGUCAUUGGCCAACAAGAUUGGGCUCAAGUUUAAAAAAUAUCGCCCAGUACCCUAUGGGAAUCAUUCCUAUAUUGAAGUUCUUGAUGAGAAGAAGGAACUGCCCUUAUAUGGAUCAGGUGGGAUCCGCUUCUUAUGGGACACUAAAUUUGAUUCAGCUAUGGUUGCCUUUUUAGAAU